rnacentral:rRNA from 1 species
CUUAGUACGGCGAGUGAAGCGGUAAAAGCUCAAAUUUGAAAUCUGGUACUUUCAGUGCCCGAGUUGUAAUUUGUAGAAUUUGUCUUUGAUUAGGUCCUUGUCUAUGUUCCUUGGAACAGGACGUCAUAGAGGGUGAGAAUCCCGUUUGGCGAGGAUACCUUUUCUCUGUAAGACUUUUUCGAAGAGUCGAGUUGUUUGGGAAUGCAGCUCAAAGUGGGUGGUAAAUUCCAUCUAAAGCUAAAUAUUGGCGAGAGACCGAUAGCGAACAAGUACAGUGAUGGAAAGAUGAAAAGAACUUUGAAAAGAGAGUGAAAAAGUACGUGAAAUUGUUGAAAGGGAAGGGCAUUUGAUCAGACAUGGUGUUUUUUGCAUGCACUCGCCUCUCGUGGGCUUGGGCCUCUCAAAAAUUUCACUGGGCCAACAUCAAUUCUGGCAGCAGGAUAAAUCAUUAAGAAUGUAGCUACUUCGGUAGUGUUAUAGCUUUUUGGAAUACUGUUAGCCGGGAUUGAGGACUGCGCUUCGGCAAGGAUGUUGGCAUAAUGGUUAAAUGCCGCCC